rnacentral:rRNA from 1 species
AGCAGCCGCGGUAAUUCCAGCUCCAAUAGCGUAUAUUAAAGUUGUUGCAGUUAAAAAGCUCGUAGUUGAAUUUCGGGGUUAGUAGGUUGGUCAUGCCUCUGGUAUGUACUGGUCUCACUGAUUCCUCCUUCCUUAUGAACCGUAAUGCCAUUAAUUUGGUGUUGCGGGGAAUUUGGACUGUUACUUUGAAAAAUUAGAGUGUUUAAAGCAGGCUAACGCUUGAAUACAUUAGCAUGGAAUAAUGAAAUAGGACGUUCGAUCUUAUUUUGUUGGUUUCUAGGAUUGACGUAAUGAUUAAUAGGGAUAGUUGGGGGCAUUAGUAUUCAAUUGUCAGAGGUGAAAUUCUUGGAUUUAUUGAAGACUAACUACUGCGAAAGCAUUUUGCCAAGGAUGUUUUC